rnacentral:rRNA from 1 species
AGAGUUUGAUCAUGGCUCAGGAUGAACGCUAGCUACAGGCUUAACACAUGCAAGUCGAGGGGAAACGAUAUCGAAAGCUUGCUUUUGAUGGGCGUCGACCGGCGCACGGGUGAGUAACGCGUAUCCAACCUGCCCACCACUUGGGGAUAACCUUGCGAAAGUAAGACUAAUACCCAAUGACGUCUCUAGAAGACAUCUGAAAGAGAUUAAAGAUUUAUCGGUGAUGGAUGGGGAUGCGUCUGAUUAGCUUGUUGGCGGGGUAACGGCCACAAGGCGACGAUCAGUAGGGGUUCUGAGAGGAAGGUCCCCCANAUUGGAACUGAGACACGGUCCAAACUCCUCGGGAGCA